rnacentral:snRNA from 1 species
GUGCUCGCUUCAGCAGCACAUAUACGAAAACUGGAACGAUACAGAGAUUAGCAUGGCCCCUGUGCAAGGCUGACAUGCAAAUUCAUGAAGCAUUCCAUAUUUAA